rnacentral:tRNA from 1 species
AUUUGUGGCUCAGUGGUAGAGCGCUCGCCUAGCAUGCACGAGGCACUGGGUUCAAUCCUCAGCACCACAUAAAUG